rnacentral:lncRNA from 1 species
GCCGCCUCCAAGGGCUCCUCACGAGAUCCGACCUAACGACACUCGCAAUCUCGAUAAACCUCAACUUCUACUUCUAUGCGGGGCCUUAUGCUGGAAGCACGCUCAGCAUCCUCGGCCGGAACCAGAUCUCUCUGGUCGAGCAGGAGCUUGUGGUUGCCGGUGGCACUAGCGUUUUCUGAUUUGCUUGUGGAUACGCAAUUUAGAAGACUAACUCUAUGCGUCCAAAUGUAUCGGUAUUGGAAUACACUAUCUACACCACCUACAACGCUAAACUUAAUGAAGUUUAUGAAAUGUAAGGGAAAUAUCAAGUAAAUUUAUAUAGUGUAAUAAAUUUUUGUGUGAGUGCACGAGUUUGAUUUGAUUUCUUUGUUGCAUUUUCAUGUUUGUGUUUAAGAUGACCACGGAAAUGUAAUUUUUUUUUGGUAUUGCUAUGAUUGAUCAAUGAUUAUUUUUCCAAAUCAAGCCUCUUCUUGUUUGAAUUCCGCUAACUAAUAAUUUUAAAUUUGAAUUCACCUCAUAUCAUGUCAAUAAUUAAUUACCAAUUAAUAAAUUCAAAAGUGGCAACGGUCAUGUACUUUGCUGACAUCUAAGCUAAACGUACUUUCUCGUGUCCACACUACACAUGUACACUAGAAAGGAUAGCCCCGUUGCAACGGAAGACACGAACUUUCCCUCUGCUUCUACAUCGACACAUAUGAGGUUGUAAAUUUCCGCAUCCUCGUCUAGGAUCUCAGAAUGAACGCCCCCAACACCGUUAUGUACGACGUGGCACAGGCCUCCAUCAGCGCCACCUCGAUGACCGACGGCAAAAGACUAAUUCUACGACAUAUACACCACCACCUACACCGCUACAACAAUAAAUCAAUUUGAUGAAAUUAAUGUGAGAGAAUUAAUUAUGAAGUCGACUUAGAUAAAUUGUGGAAUAAAUUAAUGGGUAUGCAUGGGCUCUAUUUCUUAUGUUUGUUACCUUUUCAUGUUAGUGUUUAAGGUUGCAUUUCUUCUGACGUGAUCCUCUAUUCCAUAAUUUAGUAUGUUUCACUGUAUCCCAUUCUUAAUUUAUUAUACUAAUUUAUAAUUAUUUUUAAAAUUUAAUUUAUUAUUAUGUUUUAUUAUAAUAAGGGGCCAUUUACUUUCCAUGAUUGAGUAUUUUUAUCCUUAAUACUAUAAUUUCUCCGAUUCCAUAAUUUCAAUGAGAUAUGAAUCAACUAAAAUUAGCUCAAAUAAUUAAAUAAUCAAUGGUCUUGGAAUAUCCUAAAGUUUCAAUUCAUCAAAGUAAACAAGGGAUUAACUUUACUAUUUUUAUCAAUAAAGACUGAUCCUACAAAAUAAAUACUCCUAAAAAGAUAAUUAAUAAGGGUUCACUCAUCUAGUUAAGAUUUUCAAUUAUUUUUUUAAAAAGAAAAAAGUUCAAAUUAAAUCAAGUUGAAUGCCUAAUUCAUAUAUAAAAUUAGCUGAAGUACUUAUAGUUAUCUUGUUAAUUACUAUUUUUUUUUAGGGAAUCUUGUUAAUUACUAUUUGACUUGACCUUUUCUAACAACUCUCACUACAAGAAACUAGGCGAUUAGCGAUUCCGUCGCUAAUCGCCAAAAAUUCGUCGCUAAUUUUGAUCACCGACGGAUCAACGACGGCCGCCGUGUGUCGCUGUAAAAGUGGUCGGUAAAAAAAUCACCGACGGAAUUUCGCAUCCGUUGCUAAUUAGCGACGAAAAUACCGACAGACCGUCCGUAGGUAAGCACACGACGACGCCGGCGUCGUCUGAAAUCAGCGACGGAAAUGACCGUCGGUAUUAGCGACUCCACAAGUAUUUUGGUAUUUCUAAUGUAUUUUGAACUUAAUCGCAUACAUUAAGACGAACUUUCCAGUGGGUCACCCAUCUUAGUUGUGCUCUAAUUCAAGCACGUUUAACCUUGAAGUUCUUUUCGAGUGGUCACCAGUACAGAACACGCGUAUUAUUGAUAUAACUAUCAUCUAUUAAUUCAUUUAAACUCUAUUUCAAUAUACAAUACUCCCUCCGUCCGCCAAAAGUAUUCCACAAUUACUAUAUUUGGCGUCCGCAAAAAGUAUUCCACUUUCCUUUUUAAGCCAUGGUCCCACCAUCCACCUUUAUAUUUUAUCAUUACAAACACUCUUUAUUUACAAAAAACUCACCCCAAAUUUAAUCUCAACCACACAUCUCAUAAAGUGGUGGGACCCUUUCUCCACUACAUCAACAUCAUCACACAUUUUAUUAAACUCCGUGCCCGGCCAAAGUGGAAUACUUUUGGCGGACGGAGGGAGUAUCAUUUAUUUAUAACUUUAGAAUAUGCUGAAGUCAUAUCUAAGUCUUGUGGUGCCGACGAAAGAAUGACGGUAAAUAUACGAUCGAAUUUAAAAUAAUAAAAAAUAUUAAUAUUCUCAAUAAUUUAAAAACAAGAAUAAAUUAGAAUAUUAAUUAAAUAAUAAUAAAAAUAUUUUUAAAAAAAAUAAAAAUAACAAAAAAUUAAUAAUAUUUACCGACAGAUUAUUAAUUAAAAAAUUUAAAAAAUUUAAAAAAAAUAAAAAAUAUUUAGCGACGAAAUAUUUUUCGUCGCUAAUAAUUUCGUUGCUAUUCCGUUGGUAAAUUUAAAAAAUAAAUUAAAAAUAAUAAAUAAUAUUUAACGACGGAUUAUUUUCCGUCGCUAAUAAUUCCGUCGCUAUUCCGUCGGUAAUUCGUCAGUAAAAUUUUGAAAACAUCUUCGUCGGAAUUUCGCCGUUGUUCCGUCGGUGAUUACCAACGGAUUAUUUUCCGUCAGUAAUUCCGUCGGUGUCCGAUAUAUUUUUUUGUAGUGUCUCUAUAUAAGCUCAUUAUAGCAACAUAUUUAUAAUAAUUUAAUUUAGUCAAGUAUGUAUGUACUAUAUAGGAACAUGUCUUGAUAUUAUGGAGUGAUUUAUAUAUCUAAUAAGUAUUUUAAUUCAUAGUUUCUUCUAAAAGAAAAUAGACAUCUAGAGGUUUUCAAAAUCAUAUGUCAUAUUCUCUUAUUCAUUUUCAAUGAGUUGAUAAUAUUUUUUUGAAGUUGAGUGAAAUACGGAAGGUUGAUUAUGUACCUUGCAUUAUGUUGAGAAAUUAUGUUACUAUUGAGUAAUAAGCAUGCAUACUUAUGAUAUACUAAAACUUUAUAAUUUAUUAGGUCGGUAAUGCGAAUCUAGGAUUGAAGUAUAGACCUAUGAUGAAGAGUAGAUUAUAUAUGAUAAUGUUGUAGCUUUAGUUUAUCGGAACUAAACCUAAGGUUUAUAUUGUAGGCCCAACUGAAGAGGAUACCUAAGUGGAACCACUCUAUAGCGAGACCAAAACCAUCUUGUGUAUCAGGUGUGUUUAUGUUAAAAUGUACUUUUUGAUGAGUUACUAAGCUCUGAUAUUUAUGAAAGUAAAAUGUGAAUGUUCAUGCUUCAAUGUUUUACUCUCUAUUGGGUAUGUGCUAUUAACUGGCAUGAAGUUGGCUUUGCCAAUUAACAAGGAGUUAACGAUCGUGCUCUGUGCUAGUACUAGCCAGAGUGUAGUGCGCACGGAAGUCAGAACUGGGUAGAACUUGGCCAGGUUCCUCAGUUCUGAUGAAGGGAAUCGUAUGUGGAAGAAAAUUCCUCGACGAUCAUACAGUUAUAUGUUAUACCAAUAGUAGAGGCAGUUAAAGAAAGUAAAGUUUUGUAUGCUUAUGAUGUAUGAUUUAUGUUUAAAAGCUUCAUAUGCAUACUAUUAAGCAUGAAACAUUUUAUUAUACGGUUCUUCCAAAUGUUUUAUAAACAGCAAUAGCACACUGAGUACAAUAGUGCUCAGCCAAAUCUUUUUAAAAUGUUUGCAGGUUGAGCGGCGGAUGUGGAGUGUGGUGCUGAGAUGAAGAUCUUUUAUUGAAAUCUCGUUUUUUUUGUCUCAUCCGUUUCGAUAUUUUUUUUAAAUAUCGCAUUCUAAAAGUAAUUAUGAAAAGGUAUUCAUCGAUUCUCAUAUAUAUAAAAGUACUGAAAUAAAUAUAUAAAUAAUCUAACUCACCUUCAAUUCAACCUCUUCCGUCUCCGGCAACUAUAUUCUGGCGCGCCAACUUCGCUUUCCAUCAAAAAACCAAAAUUACAAAUCCAAAUUUGGUAGGUCAAUUUUCACUUUUUCUUCUCCCUCCAUUUUGUCAUUUGAUCCAUUUUAAGUCGAAAUGAUGGAGGAAAAAUUAUAUUUAGCCUAUUAUUGUUGAAAAUCUAUGAAGUUUGAUUUCUUCUAGUGUCUAAAUUCACAGUAUACGAAGUAUAAUAAUAAAUAACUUGUACAAACUAAAGAAAGUAAUUUUAUGGAAAAAUAAUUAAUCUCCGUAAAUAAAUAUGAAUCAUGUUUGACACUAUUGUUAUUAUUUUCUCUGAGGCCGACACUAUUGAAUUUAUUAUCUUAAUAUUAUAUUCUGUUAAAUUAGGGAUGAAAUUUAGUGUCCCAUAUUUUUUGUGUGUCAAUCGUAUCCCAAUAUUAUAUUUAUUACUCUAAUAGUAAUAUUUUUGCAAAAAUAAAGUUUAAUAUAAUAUUCACGAAUUAUAUUUAACCCUAACUUUCGAUUUAUCGACUCUAAUAAAGCAUUAUUAACUAAUAAAUAGUAUAGAAAUUAAAUAAUAAAAGAAAAAUAAUAUACCCAAAAUUGAGUGGAAUAAAUUUUAAUAAAUAAUUACAAAAUUAAAAUUGAAAAACAAAGAGGAAAGAAAAUAAAAAUUGAAAGUGAGACAUUGAAUUUAAUUAGUACAUUGAAUCUCAAUAAAUCUAGACAAGAGUCAAAGUGCGAAUCUUAGCAACUUUCAGAUUAAUUAGAUAAACUUUGAUGAUAUGAAUAUUUAGGGUAAGUCAUUCUUAGUUUCUAUUUUUAUUUUUAUUUUGUUCUAUUGGUAUUGGCCAUCGUUUCUGUUUUGACGAAAAGUUAAUUUCAUGAGUUUUUUUAUACCCAUAUGGCCAUAUGCAACUUGCAAAAGUUUUAUCAGUUUUUUAUACUCAUAUGGCCAUAUGCAUCUUGCAUUAUUCUUCUAAAAAUAUACCAUAACAAAUAUUUAAUAUCUAUUCAAUACCUUUAUAUAAACCCCUAUCCACAUGAAAAUCCAAUCACACCAAUACAUUCCCAUCUCUAUCAAGUUAAAUUAGCUAGCAACAAAGAAAUUAAAAUGGCAAAGCUAGGCUCCAUUGGUGUGAUCCUAACAAUCUCAUGCUUGCUAGCGUUGACACUAUACGUCAAUGCUAGAAAGCAAGGCCUUGAUAUUGCGGAGGAUUUCCUAGAUUUCCCCCGCAAAGACUUCUACCUCGAAAAAGAAAAGGUCGUGAAGUUCCGCGUCUUUGUUCAGGAUCUCAGUGUAAAUCACCCCAACACCACCACGUACGACGUGGCACAGGCCUCCAUCACCGCGACCUCCCCGACCAGCUUCGGCAAAGUCCGUGUCAUCGACGACCUAGUCACAGCGCAGCCGGAUGGCAACUCCAGGGCGCUCGGCCGCCUCCAAGGGCUCCUCACGAGAUCCGACCUAACGACGCUCGCGAUCUCAGUGAACCUCAACUUGUACUUCUCGGCGGGGCCUUACGCCGGCAGCAUCAUUAGCCUCCUCGGCCGGAACCAGAUCGCGCUGGCCGAGCGGGAGCUUGUGGUCGCUGGCGGCACCGGUGUCUUCCGAUUUGCUCGUGGAUAUGCAAUUCAGAAGACUAACUCUACGCGCACAAACGUAUCGGUGUUGGAAUACAACAUCUACACCACCUACAAUGCUAAACUCAAUGAGGUUGAUGAAAUGUGAGGAAAUAUCAAGUCCAUAUAGAUAGUGGGAUAAAUUUGUGUGAGUGCACGAGUUUGCAUUUGAUUUCUUUGUUGCAUUUUCAUGUGACCACGUACGAAAAUUGUUUUUUUUUUUUUUGUAUUGCUAUGAUUGAUGAAUUAUUAUUUUCCUAAAUCAAGCAUUCUUCUUGUUUGAAUUUCCUAUAUUUUUAAAUUUGUAAUUACAUUAAACAUGUCAAUAAUUAAUUACAAUUAAUAAAUUCGAAAUUGGCAACAGUUAAGUACCAAUAAAACAACGAAGUGCGAUUCAAUUGAUAAGACGAUUUCCCUCUAAUCAAUAAGUCUAAGGUUCGAGUCACCACGAGACCAUUAUUGAUCCUUUUCAAAAAAAAAACAAAAGACCAAUUAAUAAUUAACACCACUUGAUUUUUCAUUAUGUUGGAACCCUAUAAGCUUAAGAGAUGAUGAUGUCCACAACUUUAAAUAUUUUUUUUGUCGAAAUUAAUUCAACUUCUUUAUCAGUUUAGGGGCAAGCCGCAUGUAUCGCUGGGCUCGCGCCUCAGAUCCGACCCGGCAUGUUGACUUGCCGUUGUUUUAGUGUACUAGUUAUAAUAUGUAAAUAAGUCCUUUUUUCUUAAAAGUAAAUGUGACUUUAAAAGUAAUUAAAUGAGAUCUAUACUAUAUUAAAACAGCAGUUUUCAAUUAGAAAUUGAUUUCAAAUCAAUUUCAAUGGCAAUUUUGUGAUUUCUUACAAAAAUAAUGACUUAUUGUACAUAUUCAAAACUUAAGUAACUAACUCAAUUAAAAUUACAUAACCCAUAAUUUUUUUAAAAAUGCACACCCACGUUUAAAAAGACAAAUUGCAUAACCCACGUUUAUAAUUUCAUAAUGAAUUAUAUGUUUAUAUGUGUAUAUAUACACAAUUUAUAAGGCAUUGGUUAUAAAUAAUUUAUAAAUUUAUAUUUAUAUAAUAAUUUAUAAUAUAUUAAGAAGAUAAUUUUCAAUUUCAAAUUGAUUUCAAAAUUAAUAAGUGACAAUUUUGUAGUUAUAAAAAAUUGAAGUUUUAUUUGUACAAUAUAAUUUUUCUUCGUGUUCUUAUUUUUUAAUAUUAUUUCUUUCUAAAAUUGUGAAAUUAAAAUUAUUUAUAAAAUAUAUCAAAUUAAAUAUCAUGAUAAGAGCAUUAAUUUGAUAUAUUUUAUGUAAAUAUUUGAUUUAAAAUGGAGAGUUAUAUUUAUUUAAAGAUUAAUGGUUUUUAAAAAUUCUCUCUCAUCUCUCCUCUUUUUUUGAAUAAAUCAAUUUUUUUCUAUUUUAUUCUUUUUACUUAUUAUUUAUGCCUUUUCACAAUAUCAAUUUUUAUUAUUGUGAAUUUUUCUUUAUUUUUUUUAAUAUUCAACUCAAAUAUAUUAAGUGAAAAUUAAUUUUUUUCUUAUAUUUAUAAAUAUGAUAAUUGAGUUGGUAUCAAUUUAUAUAUAUAAAAAUAUAAAAACGUUUUCCGUGCAUCGCACGGGGUGCAAAUGCUAGUUAUAUUAUUAAAAGCAAAUAAGAUUUUUAAAAAUUAAAAAUAAAAUUAUGCACACAAAACAGGAGUUGUAUUACGCAAAUGAGUUUUUUUAACAAAGCAAAUGAUUUUUUUUAAACGAAUGAAAUAAAUGCACAUAAAGUAUGGACUAUAUUAAUUACAUAAAUGAAACUUUAUUCAAAACCAAAUGAAACUUUUAUUAAAAGAAAAUAAGACUGUUAAAAGAUAAAAAUAAAAUUAUGCACACAAAGCACGAAUUGUAAGACUUUUCUUCAAGACAAAUGAGUUUUUUUUUUUAAAAUUAAACGUGUUUUUUUACGAAAUCAAAUGAGACUUUUGAUUAGAUUAAGAGGGUGUUUGGCUGAGCUUAUAAGCUCCUCAAAACAGUUGUUUAAGAGCUUAUAAGUUCCUUUAAAGUGUUUGACAAAAUAAGCUUCUAAACAGUUUAUAAGCUCCAACAGCUUAUAAGCUCCCCAAAAAAAUAGUUUAUCUACCCCAACUUAUUUUUUUAUAAUCUCAUAUGCAACAAUCAUUUUACAAAUAUUUUUCAACUAUAAUUUAUUAUUUUCAUCAUAUAUCAUUGAAGUUCAUUAUUUUUUGAUUCUCUCUCUCUAGAAAAAAAUUCUCUCUCUCUAGAAAAAAAUUCUCUCUCUAGCUUAUAAGCUCAAUCAUCCAAACACUUUAACAACUUAUAAGCUCUUAAAAAUUACAUCUUAUAAGCUCUUGAAACAUCUUAUAAGCUCCAAGAGCUUAAAAGCUCUUUUAAAUAAGUUUAGCCAAUUCCUCUAAAUUGAGCACGGGUCGGAUUGAAUCUGGACCGUGGAGUCCCAGUAUCACCCAAGUUUUUGUGAUUAGUUUAAGCUACAUCUCCAAUAAAUUAAGUAUAUAUAUAGGAGUAGUUCUAUCAUUUUUGAGGUUUUAAUUGGUCGGGUCUGAAUCAGAAAAUAUAUACGUUAAUGAGAGGAUCGAGAUGAACUUAAUAUGUGUGUGUGUCUAUGUCCUUAUUGACUAAAUUUAAGUAUUUUUUUUUUUUAAAAUACUUUCGAACUUUUUAAUAAAUUUUAAUCAACACAUACUUAACUUCUAAGCAAAUUCAUCAUAUAGAAAAUGUAGAAAUGAAAUAAACUAAUAUUACUUUCUUUUCCUCUCUUUAAUAUUUUCGAACUUUUUUAAAAUGUUUGCAGGUUGAGCGGCGGAUGUGGAGUGUGGUGCUGAGAUGAAGAUCUUUUAUUGAAAUCUCGUUUUUUUGUCUCAUCCGUUUCGAUAUUUUUUUUAAAUAUCGCAUUCUAAAAGUAAUUAUGAAAAGGUAUUCAUCGAUUCUCAUAUAUAUAAAAGUACUGAAAUAAAUAUAUAAAUAAUCUAACUCACCUUCAAUUCAACCUCUUCCCGGCAACUAUAUUCUGGCGCGCCAACUUCGCUUUCCAUCAAAAAACCAAAAUUACAAAUCCAAAUUUGGUAGGUCAAUUUUCACUUUUCUUCUCCCUCCAUUUUGUCAUUUGAUCAUUUUUAAGUCGAAAUGAUGGAGGAAAAAUUAUAUUUAGCCUAUUAUUGUUGAAAAUCUAUUAAGUUUGAUUUCUUCUAGUGUCUAAAUUCACAGUAUACGAAGUAUAAUGAUAAAUAACUUGUACAAACUAAAGAAAGUAAUUUUAUGGAAAAAUAAUUAAUCUCCGUAAAUAAAUAUGAAUCAUGUUUGACACUAUUGUUAUUUUUUCUCUGAGGCCGACACUAUUGAAUUUAUUAUCUUUAAUAUUAUAUUCUGUUAAAUUAGGGAUGAAAUUUAGUGUCCCAUAUUUUUUUGUGUGUCAAUCGUAUCCCAAUAUUAUAUUAUUAUUAAUAGUAAUAUUUUUGCAAAAAUAAAGUUUAAUAUAAUAUUCACGAAUUAUAUUUACCCUAACUUUCGAUUUAUCGAUCUAAUAAAGCAUUAUUAACUAAUAAAUAGUAUAGAAAUUAAAUAAUAAAAGAAAAAUAAUAUACCCAAAAUUGAUGGAAUAAAUUUUAAUAAAUAAUUACAAAAUUAAAAUUGAAAAACAAAGAGGAAAGAAAAUAAAAAUUAAAGUGAGACAUUGAAUUUAAUUAGUACAUUGAAUCUCAAUAAAUCUAGACAAGAGUCAAAGUGCGAAUCUUAGCAACUUUCAGAUUAAUUAGAUAAACUUUGAUGAUAUGAAUAUUUAGGGUAAGUCAUUCUUAGUUUCAUUUUUAUUUUUAUUUGUUCAUUGGUAUUGGCCAUCGUUUCUGUUUUGACGAAAAGUUAAUUUCAUGAGUUUUUUUAUACCCAUAUGGCCAUAUGCAACUUGCAAAAGUUUUAUCAGUUUUUUAUACUCAUAUGGCCAUAUGCAUCUUGCAUUAUUCUUCUAAAAAUAUACCAUAACAAAUAUUUAAUAUCUAUUCAAUACCUUUAUAUAAACCCCUAUCCACAUGAAAAUCCAAUCACACCAAUACAUUCCCAUCUCUAUCAAGUUAAAUUAGCUAGCAACAAAGAAUUAAAAUGGCAAAGCUAGGCUCCAUUGGUGUGAUCCUAACAAUCUCAUGCUUGCUAGCGUUGACACUAUACGUCAAUGCUAGAAAGCAAGGCCUUGAUAUUGCGGAGGAUUUCCUAGAUUUCCCCCGCAAAGACUUCUACCUCGAAAAAGAAAAGGUCGUGAAGUUCCGCGUCUUUGUUCAGGAUCUCAGUGUAAAUCACCCCAACACCACCACGUACGACGUGGCACAGGCCUCCAUCACCGCGACCUCCCCGACCAGCUUCGGCAAAGUCCGUGUCAUCGACGACCUAGUCACAGCGCAGCCGGAUGGCAACUCCAGGGCGCUCGGCCGCCUCCAAGGGCUCCUCACGAGAUCCGACCUAACGACGCUCGCGAUCUCAGUGAACCUCAACUUGUACUUCUCGGCGGGGCCUUACGCCGGCAGCAUCAUUAGCCUCCUCGGCCGGAACCAGAUCGCGUUGGCCGAGCGGGAGCUUGUGGUCGCUGGCGGCACCGGUGUCUUCCGAUUUGCUCGUGGAUAUGCAAUUCAGAAGACUAACUCUACGCGCACAAACGUAUCGGUGUUGGAAUACAACAUCUACACCACCUACAAUGCUAAACUCAAUGAGGUUGAUGAAAUGUGAGGAACUAUCAAGUCCAUAUAGAUAGUGGGAUAAAUUUGUGUGAGUGCACGAGUUUGCAUUUGAUUUCUUUGUUGCAUUUUCAUGUGACCACGUACGAAAAUGUUUUUUUUUUUUUUUUUUUUGUAUUGCUAUGAUUGAUGAAUUAUUAUUUUCCUAAAUCACGCUGAUAUUUUUAAAUUUGA